rnacentral:lncRNA from 1 species
AGUCCAUACUUCUAAUUUUUGUAAGAUAUGUUGCGAAAUAUUAAUCAAAUUAACCAAAAGUUUCUAAUAUACAAACUCUGUAAUAUUGCGUACAUCGUCUCCACAAUAGUACAUAAUCUACCAGACAUACACGUCCACAUAAUAAAUAUUGCGUACAGCGUAAAUUGUGUACAUGUACAUGAAAGAAAUUCAAACAAGGACAUGAUUGUAAUUUUGCAGUCAUCUUCAACCUGAAUAUCCUCUUCUACAACUCUACUUUUUGCUUUUGCUCUCCGACCAUGUUCAAUACAUGCAAAUCGAUUUCACUCUCAAUAUCUACUCGCCGACUAUCCCUCUUCACCGAGAUUUGGGUCAUGUUUACGGAAAUCCAAAUUUCCAAGACACGAAAUUCGUCUUCUCGUUGGAGUCAUCAACUCUGAUACCUUGGAAAUUUGUAUCUUCUCCUCGCUGGAAAUCUUAAAUAUGUUUUUACUCGCUUGAAAAAGCAUCAAUCAAAGAUGAAUGAAAGAUUUAACAAGUAAUCUCUGAAACGAUUACCUCUCAAAUUUUCAGAAAAUAUCUUGGUGAAGAAGUUGAGAUUUUCAAUUUCUCUUUUGGUAGAAGAAUCAAAAUGAGAUAUUAGAUUGAAGAAUGGAAACGGUAGAAGAAUCAAAAUGAGAUAUUAGAUUGAAGAAUGUAAACGGUUUGUACUCAGAUUUUUUCUCCUCUU